UAAAGGCUCCUAGAACUGAUAAACAAUUUCAGUAAAGUUUCAAGAUACAAAGUCAAUAUGCAAAAAUCAGUAGUAAUAGACCAAGAUUCAUAAAUAAGAUGUUAUUCACAGAAUCUUGAAUGAUGUCAUUUUAUUCACAUAUAUACACACAUAUUAUAUAGAGAGGUAACUCUAAAUCUUGUGCCACAAACAUAAUACAGGAUGAAAAUCUCAAAUAGAUUUA
rnacentral:lncRNA from 1 species